rnacentral:rRNA from 1 species
GAUGAACGCUGGCGGCGUGCCUAAUACAUGCAAGUCGAGCGAACAGACGAGGAGCUUACUCCUCUGACGUUAGCGGCGGACGGGUGAGUAACACGUGUAAACCCUACCUAUAAGACUGGGAUAACUUCGGGAAACCGGAGCUAAUACCGGAUAACAUGUUGAACCGCAUGGUUCAACAGUGAAAGACGGUCUUGCUGUCACUUAUCGAUGGAUCCGCGUCGCAUUAGCUAGUUGGUAAGGUAACGGCUUACCAAGGCAACGAUGCGUAGCCGACCUGAGAGGGGGGUAGGCCACACGAGAACGUGAACACGGACCAGGGUCCUGAGGGAGGCAGCAGUAGGGAAUCUGACGCAAUGGGCGAAAGCCUGACGGAGCAACGCCGCGUGAGUGGAGAAGGUGUUCGGAUCGUAAAACUCGGUUAUGAGGGAAGAACAGAUGUGUAAGUAACUAUGCACGGCUUGACGGUACCUAAUCAGAAAGCCACGGCUAACUACGUG